UUGACCUCGGAUCAGGUAGGAUACCCACUGAACUUUAGCAUAUCAAAUAAANCGNGG
rnacentral:rRNA from 1 species